AAGGUUGAACUAUUGAAGACCAAGUUUGGAUUUGAUGAUGCUUUCAAUUAUAAAGAGGAGCAUGACUUGGAUGCAGCCUUGAAAAGGUUAGUGUAUGAAGUCGGCAUAAGAGACAAUCUGAAAUAGCACUCUCAAGCCUUACAGAACCUCUAGACGUUCUGCAGCUUAAUUAAUCUGUGAUUAUGUGCAUUACUUUUUUUGUUUUUGAAUGUUAAUCUUGUGGGGAUUGGCUCAAGUGGAAAAAGGAAUGAUUGUUUCCUUUGCCAGGUACUUCCCUGAAGGCAUCGACAUUUACUUUGAGAAUGUUGGAGGAAAAAUGCUUGAUGCUGUCCUUCUAAACAUGAGAUACCAUGGCCGUAUUGCUUUGUGUGGAAUGAUCUCUCAAUACAAUCUCGAGCAGCCUGAAAGUGUGGAGAACUUAAUCGCUGUACUCUUUAAGCAUAUCCGGAUGGAAGGGUUUUCGGUUGCCGAGUACUAUGACCAAUACUCCCAAGUUCUUGGAUUUUGUUCUGCCUUAUAUUAAAGAAGGGAAGAUUGUUUAUGUGGAAGACAUAACUGAAGGACUCGAGAGUGGCCCUGCUGCAUUGAUAGGCCUAUUCAGCGGCCGAAAUGUAGGCAAGCAAGUAGUGAAGGUUGCUCAGGAGUGAUCAGUCUCCCUUUACAUGUCUUCUUGCCAAUGCCAUUGCUUGUCUUACAUGCUUCAUUAACAUAAGGCAGAACAAAAUCCAAGAACAGAAAAUAAAAUAAAAUUGAGGUUUCAAUUUAAAAAGCUUAUAACUGAAGGGCUGCGUGUAUGAUUUAGCCCCAUUUUCAGGAAAAUGUAUACUUUUAUUUCUAAUCAAAUUUAUAUCAUUCUCAAUUUCCAUAUUUGCUUCCAUUUAUUUUUUUUUUCUAAAAAAAACAAUUUAUCUUUCAAUUACUGAGAUUAAUUGUGUUACACAUGACAUGACAUGCCAUGAUUUUUCUAACAAUACACGUAACACUUGUUUAAUUUCCCAUAUUGUUUCUCAACAAAACCAAAAUCACAUUAAUUUCAGGAAAACUUUGAAAUUUAUAUGGAAGGGUAGAUUUGUUCUUUUGUUUAAAUUUUAAAAUUGUAUUGAUUCGGGAAGUAAAUUGUAGAUUUUAAAUUAUGAAUGGAGUCAAGAUCAUAGAAGUGUCAAGGUAUUUUUUUCUUAAAAAAAAAAUUAAUUUCAAACAACGACCCGCAUGACAAAAAAGAAGAGAAAAAGAAAAAUAAAUCGACAUCAUCCGACUAAUUUGUUUUCCCAAGCUUCGUGGAAAUCGUAGUUUAGAGCCAUCCAUUUCAGGGCAGAAGAUGUAGCUCAAGAAUAAAUGCUCACUUUGCUAUACUGUCCUGUUUUCUACUCUGAUGAACUCUCAAAUCCAAAUGGCUAAUUUGUUUUUUAUCUACCCUCCUUUUAUGUUCUCCUUGUUAGCUACUGUCACUGUAACUACUGUUACCUCUACCAGAAACUUGAUAAAUAAAAACAUAAAUAUUGAGUGAAUAUUUUUGUUAGUAAAUUAUCGAUGGAUUUUAUCGAUAAAAAUAUUCUCUCGGUAUUUACCGAGAGAAUUACAGUGGGGAAAAAAUAAUUAAAACAAAGCAAAAAAAAUAAUGAUAUGUCAUUUUUACCAACGGAAUUUAUUCCGUCGGUAAAUCCAUCGGUAAUUUCGUCAGAAAAAUUAUUGGUAAACUGUCAAUACUAUUCAUUGUGUUAACUACAAAGAGAAUCACCGACAGAACAUUCAAUCGGUAUUUUACAGAGAGCUCUGGAAUUAUUCACUCCAAUUACACUGUUAAUUACUUUUCUUUACAAACAAUAUCACCGAUGGAUUGAAAAGUCGUCGGUGAUAUUUGACGGUUUCUGAAUUUUUUUAAUUUAAUUCAAAAUUUAAAUUAAAUAUUAUAGAUGGAAUCACCAACGGAAUGAUUAAAAAUAUUAAUAUUUAAUUAUCCGUCGAUAAACGCCCCAAUAAAAAGUCUAGAAUCUCUAAUUUCACAACAGACACGUCUCCUUUCUUCUUCUUCUUCUUCUUCUUCUUCUUCUUCUUCUCUUCUCUCCUCAACUCCUUCUCUUCUUCUCUAUGCUCAGGUAUGUCUUCUUCUCCUUUCUUAUUUUUUCUUCUUAGUUUUUUUUAAUUAGUAUACUUUACGAAUUUGUUUUUUUUUUCUUUUCUUAGCUUCACUUGUAACUACAUUAUCUUCUUUUUUUCGUGUUUUAUUCAAUAUAUUUGUUUUUUUAUUUUAUUUUUAAUUGUUUUUGUUCUUAAUAAUUGUAUGAAUGUUGUUGUAGGAUUUUUUUUCAUAUGAGAUCAAUUUUUAGUUGAUUUAUUUAUAGGAUUUUUAAAUUUUUUGCAUAUGAAGUUUUUUAGUUUAAUUUAUUUUUUCAUGUUAUAUAUUUGUUGUAAAUUUUUUUGAGUUGAUUUUCUUCUUUUUCCAAGCAUUUUGAGUAUUCUAGAGUGUUGAUUAAUAUUAAUUUAAUUAUUUUAUAGUUUUUUUAAAAUAUUUUUAAAUAAUUACCGAUGGAAUUACAUACGGUUUGUUUCCGAGGAAAUUACUGACGGAAUGAAAUUUUUUUUUGCUUACUUUUUCCGUCAGUAAAUCUAUCGAUAAUAAUAUUUUUUUAUUAUCAACAAAUUUAUCGACGGACAAAAAAUUACUAACAAAAAAUUUACUGACGGAGACUUUCCAUCAGUGAUUUCAGUGGUAAUUUUUUUAAAGUUAAAUCAUAUGGAAGCAUGCACCCAAUCUCGCUAGUAGAGACCAGCUGUGUGUUCCAUGAACUUGGAUUACAGGAGACUUGCUUUUUGACUUGAAGAAAUAGACUGUCCAAUCUUUAUUUAUUUCCAAACUUGUCGUUUCUUGGACACUUAGACUCGGAAAAGUGCUUUCAAUUGUUUUUAAAUAUUAUUAUUCUAUUCUUUAAAACACGUUGUAUAAUUUUUUUUGUUGGUAGAAAAAUUAUAUGAGUUGCUGUGAAAUAACUAAUCAAUUUUUUAUGGGCUCUGAUUUUGAAGUUUUGAGAUUCAAAAUUAUUUACAAAAUUAUGUAAUUCGUACCCAUCACUAUUUUAAAACUCUUAAAUUAAAUACAGGAAACGUUUUUAUAAGUAGAGGGACUAAAAUGAAUUUCUGCCACCUUUAACCUCUAAGCUCCAGAUCCAUGAAGAGUACCCAAAACAGGUUUUGAAGUUGUGGGUUUUGGUUUCAAAGUCCCCAAAUUCUUUCCAAAACACAUCCUCACCCUCACUGUCUUCUUAUGCCAUGCGCACAGAGCGCUACAUGUUAUUUACUUUAAAGUGCAAAAUUAAUCUAAAUAUAAAAAAAUAUAGAAAUUAAACUAAAAAUAUUAUUUUACAUUUAAUAAAAAAAAUUAUUUAACUAUAUUAUAAUUAAAGUUACUUGUUUUUGGGAUUCUUUCAACAUGAGCUCUCAAUUUUAUAUCUCUCUUUUUUUUACAGUGUUUGGUAACACCAUUAGAAUUAUAUUUUUUAAAAUUUAAUUUUUUUAUUUUAAAUUAAUUAUUUUUUAGAUAAUUUUUAUGUAAUAAUAUGAAAAAUAUUUUUUUAAAAAAUAAAAAAUAUUAUUUUAAUAUAUUUCAAACAAAAAAAAACAAUUUCAACCACCAAUACUAAUAUAUGCUUCCAAACAUCCAAUAAUUAAAUAAAUUAGAUCUGACGCGUUUUCGAGUCCUUAAUUCCAACUAUUCCUUCUUGAAACACUACAAGUCAACUUAGACUGGAAUUGUCCACUGGGACAAGGGUGACAAAGACUUUGCAACUUUGGACGCGGUACGUAGUUAAUAGUCAAAUAUAAGUUUGAACGAUCUCUUGUUAUUUGCUGCUGUUUUGCUAUCCACAAAUGGCUCUUGAUGCAAAACUUGCUCUUCUUUUGAUUCAUAUCCUUAGUGUUGCCGGCAAUGGAUACAGUUCUUUACAAGAGAACUACUACGGGAGUGAAGAUGAACACAGGAAAAAGUUGGAUUCUUCUUUCAAAAGUGGGUUUGCAACAGGUUAUGCAUUUUCUUCAGUUUCCAUUUUAGCUAUUUUCAUGUCCUGUUGUGUGCCUUGGGCUCGUCUUAACAAGAGGAAGAGGAACAAGAUAAUGAUGAAGACACCAAUGAUGACAUCUUUGAUGGAAAGGCGAGAGAAGAAGAUAAAAGAAGCCAACGAGCAGGUAUCCCCAUAAGACUUUCAUUCCAUCAUUUUUUUUUUAUCUUUUUGAUGAAGAGGACGAUAGAGUUGCUUUUAUUAAGGAUAGAUCCAAAUUCUUCAGUUUCCAAGACCAUGAAGAAGAUGGAUCAUUGCAAACUGAUGAAUUAAAUAGACCACAAACCAAAACAUUAAUUCAUUACAGACACAAGCAGAAAAGGAGAGACCUCGAGUUCAUGUCCUUAAAGUAGCACCUAAGCCUCAAAUUAAAACCAAGCUAUGAGAUGUUCAACUCCUUGCUUUGACAAUUGACCAGCAACGAGAGACGUUUCUCUAGCUGAAUGAAUAAUUAAUGAAGAUGACUGCACUAAAUAAGAAGUCAGCAUGCUAAUAUAUAGAACUCAUAGUAGAGCAACACUAGCUAGAUCUCCACAGCAUGAGAAGUUUAUUACAAGAAUGCAGUAAAUAAAGCAACUGGCAGUGAUCCAACUCUGGAUCUCCUGCGGGAAGCAACGAAAGAGAUGCUUCCUCAUGUGAAGAAUCCGUUCCUUUAAUAAUGCAUCAAUUAAUUAGUCUCUCCAGAACUUGGAAUGCCUUUUCACUUGGAACAGCAGUUAAGGGUUUUUAUAUAUAUAUAUGAUCUUGUUUCAUUUCUUCAUCUUCCACAGAUUUGUAUGUUGGAGAGUCUUGUUAAGAGAUUGAGUUUCGUAGGCAUCAGAAAUGCAACAGCAAAUUUUAGCCAAGCCAACAAAAUUGGAUUGGGACGAAUGGGAACCAUGUAUAUGGCUACCCUUCCUGAUGGUAGGUUCCUUUCAGUGAAGAGGAUAGUUGACUCUCAACAGUUUGAGGAACAGAUAGUUUCUGAAUUGAAAACAUUUGGUACAUUAAAGCAUAAGAACUUACUGCCCCUGUUCGGAUUCUGCGUAGAAUCAAAUACAAGGCUUCUGGUGUACAAGUAUAUGUCUAAUGGAAACCUUUUUGAUUGGAUACAUCCAGUGAAGCACCGGAGGAAGACUCUGCAAUGGCCUUUGAGGUUGAAAAUUGCGGUUGGGGUAGCAAGAGGCCUGGCAAGGCUCCACCAUGGCUGCAGAGGUCAAGUGGUGCAUCUCAACAUAAGCUCAAAGUGUAUUUUGCUUGAUAAGAAUUUCGAACCCAAGCUAUCGAAUUUCGGAAAGGCGAUGCUGAUCAUGAGUAUGAGUAACAGUCCAGGAGUGCAUAAUGAGUUUUGUGAGAUGGCGCUUGUUAAGGAAGAUGUGCACGGAUUUGGAGUUGUACUGCUUGAGCUGAUUACUGGGAUGGAUUGUAGCAAAAUUAAUUUUUCCUCAAACAGCAUUCUUAAUGAAUGGAUUGGUCAUCUCUUGAGCACUUCUUAUUUUAAUGAUGCCAUGGAUAGGUUUCUGAUUGGGCAAGGAUUUGACGAUGAGAUCUUUCAGCUGCUUAAAGUUGCAUGUAACUGUCUUGAUUGCACUCCAGAUCGAAGGCCGACAAUGCUUCAAGUGUACAAGGACAUAAAGGCAAUAACCAAGAGAUGUGAAGUGGUUGAUGAUUCAGAGAUCCAAAUGCAGCCUGAAAUUUGUCCUGCUACUUCUCAAGACUAAUCUGUUGCCAGCAAAAACAGGACCGAAGUUAGCAGAUCUAUAUUUUCCUGUUUCUAUCAUGUUCAUAAACCAACAUGUAAGAAGCAAUAUUGUAUAGAAUAUAAUUGUGUCCGGGAAUAAGUUGCCAGCAUUUUACUUUGUAAUUCAAACAGAAGAUCAAUCUGAUCAAAAUACGCCGAUGAGUGAAAAUGGUUUGGAUAAUACUUCCUGAUCUUGUGUUGCAAGUCAAGAUCAAUGGAUUCAAUUCUUCCAGCUUAGAAUAACCAAUUGAAUUUGUGUUUAAAUGUAUAUUAUACAAAUAUUAUCAGAGCUCUGUGUCAGAUGGUAUCACCAUGCUUCUUAAGAAAAGAUUGUUGUUGCAUCUCUUGUAUGUAGAAAAGUCUCAAGUAAAAAAAUAAGCUUAUCAAGAUCAACUAUCUAUCUCAUGUAAAAAAAUAAAAUAAAAUAAUUGCCGUAGGUGACAAGGUUCAUUGCAUAGAAAACAAAAUAUCCACGGGUAGCAGUAGAGUCCCAAAACUAUACUACAGUUGUCUCCUGCCUAACCUUUAGCUUGUGUCGAUGGUCAAUAUUAACUGCGAGGAAGCAUCAUCCAUAAUCCAUAUUUUCACUCGAAUAUUUUUCUUACUUGAAAAUUGUGAUCUAUUGGUCAUAUAUAUAUAUAAAAUCCCAAUUCAAAUUAAUGUGUUAUCUGUUGCUUUCCCUUUCUUCUGCGACCUAGGUAGCUUGAAAACUUCAAAGCAACCUAUUUCGUUUUUUCUGUUCCUUUUCAUUUUACCUUAAGUAAGAUCAGUGCUAGCUACAAACUCUCCAAGAAUGGCCACUAGUCAGAACAGAGCUCAUUCAGUACUGAUCUUUGUCUUGUCUUGUAUAUCUAGUGUAAGUAGUGCAACUGAGCCUGAUGUUUAUUGCUUGAAAUCUGUUAAAGAUUCCUUGGAAGACCCUUACAAUCAUUUCUCUUCAUGGGACUUCGCCAAUCAGACUGAGGGUUUCAUCUGUAGGUUUGCGGGAGUCGACUGCUGGAAGCCUGAGGAGAGCAGAGUCUUAAAUCUAGCACUGUCUAACAUGGGGCUCAAGGGCCAGUUCCCUCCUGGCAUCGAAAACUGCACAAGCUUAACUGGUUUGGACCUUCCAAGAAAUGAGCUUCAGGGGCCGAUUCCAUCUGACAUCUCUAAAAGGCUACCAUACAUCACUAACCUUGACCUAUCCUUCAACAACUUUUCUGGUGAAAUCCCAUCAAGUAUUGCCAAUUUAUCCUUCUUAAAUGUUCUAAAACUAGACCAUAACCAACUAAUAGGAAAUAUCCCACCGCAAGUUGGCCUUCUCCAACGACUCAGGAACUUCAGUGUGGCGGACAAUCUGUUGUCAGGUCCAGUGCCAGAAUUUGUUAAAGCAAAUUCUGCAUGUGGUGUUUUUUUGGUCAAUUGGUGGUUUUUCUUCAUCCACAAAUGUGAAUUAUGCAAACCACCCUGGCCUAUGUGGAGGGCCUUUAGAUCCUUGCAAAGGGCAUAGCAACGAAUUUUAUUCUUCUUUCAGAACUGGGUUUGCUGCUGGUUAUACGGUUUUUUCUGUUUCAGUCAUUGUUGGUUUUGUGUCCGGCUGUGUGCCAUGGGUGCAUGUCAAAAAAAGAAAUAAGAAGAUUACGAUACUAACGAUGGUAAUGCUGGUUUUGAGGAAUAACAGGAAAGAAGCUGAUAAUUUAAGUGCUUCGCCAUCGGUUGAGAACAUACAUGGAGGAGGCAAAGAGGUACUGACUAUAUGAUUAUGUGCAUGUCAACUUUGAGUGGUUUGCUUUUGAAAUUGAUUGCAGGACUUCUUGCUUUUCUUUUUGUCCUGUUAUUAGACUUUUCUAAUUAUCUCUUAUGAGUUUUGAGUUAACUAUUCAUCUGCGGUUACAUGAUGUCUUAAUUUACAGAUAGUCCUAAAUUCUUUAACCUGCUUCAAUUUCAAGGUUAAUACUUGUGUUUCUUCAACAAUUAGUGAGUAAUGGAUUGGGAAUUUCUGUCCUCAGAUUUAUAUGUUGGAGAAGAAGGUUACAAGAAUGAGCUAUACAGAUCUUAAAGAUGCAACAAAUAAUUUCAGCAAAACAAUGUCAUCGGGCAGGGGAAGAUUGGGAUGCUGUACAAAGCAGCGUUGCCUAGUGGUUAUCUCUUUGCAGUGAAGAAAUUACACAACUGUCGAAUCCUCGAGGAGCAAUUCGUGUUAGAAUUGAAGACACUUGGUUCAUUGAGGCAUGUCAACAUACUUCAACUUUCGGGAUUUUCAAUCACAUCAAAACAUUGGCUUCUGGUUUUCAAAUACAUGCCAAAUGGUAACCUUUAUGAUUGGCUACAUCCAAUGGAAGGUCAGGCAAAGAUUAUGGAAUGGACUGUGAGGUUUAAAGUUGCAAUCGGGUUAGCAAGAGGCUUGGCAUGGCUUCAUCAGGACUGCAGUAGUACUAUCCGAGUUUUCCAUCUUAACAUAAGCUCAAAGUGCAUCUUACUUGAUCAGGAUUUCGAGCCAAAGUUGUCGAAUUUUGGGGAGGCGAUAAUCGCAAAUCCAACAAACACUUCCCCUUUGAAUGGUGAGUUUUGGGAUACAGCAUUUGCUAUGGAAGAUGUGUAUGGAUUUGGAGUUGUGCUCCUUGAGCUGAUUACGGGGGUGGAUUCUAGCAGAAUGACUGGUUCCUCGAACAGUCUUCUUAAUGAAUGGAUUAGUCAUCUUUUGACUAGUUCUAAGAUCUAUGAUGCCAUUGAUAAGUCUCUGGUUGGGCAAGGAUUUGAUGAUGAGAUAUUUCAGCUGCUUAAAGUUGCAUGCCACUGUGUUGAUUCCAUUCCAGAUCGAAGACCAACAAUGCAUCAAGUGUACAAAGACAUAAGAGCAAUGACGGAGAGAUGUCGCCAAAUUGAUGAUUCAGAGAUUCUAGUGCAGCAGCAUGAAAUUUACCCUCCCAGCUCAAAGGGCAAAUCUGUUGAGAUUGAAAUGGCAUAGAGUCAAUGGAAACAGGAAAAACAGGACAAAUUUAGGCAACUCUAUCAUGUUUUGGUAUAAUAAACAAGUAUGUAAGAAGCAAUGGGGCUGUUUGAGAACAAGCUUCAACUAUCUAUCCAACUUCAAGGUACUGCAAAAGUGACUACAAAUAUUUCAAACUAGUCUCUUUUCUGGGGACUUGAAAAAAACCUCAGGAUACAGAUUAAAGUUUUGUAUACAACUCCGUCCAAAUUGUCCCAAAAGUCUUGAAUAUUUUCUAUUGCUUUGGACUACAUAUUGUGCAUUCAAUUGACUCUUCAACAAGGGCAUAUUGCAACCUUGUAGACCAUCAGCAACAUUUUUCAACCAUUUUGCUUAACAACAAAUUAAUUUAAGAAAUUUAGCAAAAAGCAUGGCUAGUGAUCAUAGAGUUGGUGGUGAGGAAGUGAAGAGCAAGAAGCAAGUGAUUUCUCAAGGACUAUGUGAGUGGCUUUCCAACAGAAUCAAACCCGUACGUACGUGAAGACAAGUAGCUAGCAUCAAACUAGAAGCACCAGAAGAAGAAAGUGGAAAAUAUGCUGUGGUGGCUUACAAUCUCCGCUUGUCUUGUGAUCCUUUCAUGCGCGGAGGCAUGCAGAAAGAUCUACCACCUGCUAAACAACCUCGUGUUUUGAGUUCCAGCCAGCGCUGGAACUUCACCGAUCUGUUGAUCAACAAGGUUCCUAAGAAUUUGGAUUUGUUUUCGAAGAAGAAAACAAGUAGCAAACGACAAGCACAAGCAACACUAGCCAAUAUUUUCUCUACAAGUAAAGUAGUGAAGGUUGCCCAGGAGUGAUCCGUCUCCCAUUGCAUAUCUUCUGGGCAAUGCCAUCUUGUGCCUUUAGCACUAGCUGUAAAACUAACAAUAUCCCUGUGUAGGAAAACAGUGCAGAUAUAUGGCCUCAUUGCUAAGAGAGGAACAACGUGGUCUGUUGAUAAUUCAGAGAUUCUCCUUAAGAAGAAUCUGUUGUGUGAACAAACAGGAUAAACAUCUUUGAUUUGAUGCAGAUUGCAGAAUGAAAAUAUUUUGCUGGUUAAACAGGACUCCGACAACCAUUCGAUAUGACAGGCCCAUCUUUAUUAGCUGUAAGUCUCGAUUUAUUUGAUAGGCCCAUGUUCUCAAAAUUUUGAGGCCCCCCUUUCAAAUCAUAAUAUUCAUCACAUAAAUUAUUUUGAUAUUGUUAUUAUAAUUGUUUUGAUUUUUUUUUAUCAAGAUAAAUUUUUUUAUUGACAUAUAUCUUGUUUAUCUUAACAUAAAUACUAGUUUUAUAACUUGAAUAAUUUUUUUAUUUAAAAAACAUUUUAUGUUUAUUAAAAUAAAUUAAUAAACAAAUAUCAAAAUAAUAUGUUCAUAUUUUAUGUGUGAUUUAAAACUAAAAAAAUCCUUAAAUGUGAUAAAUCAUGUUCAAAAACUAUUUAUAAAAUUUAAGAAUUAAAAAAAUUUGAAUCUAUUAGUAUUAUUAUUGAUAAUAAAAAAGACUAACAAUGUAUUUUUUUGACUUGAAUAAAAAGACUAAGAAAUCAAUGCAUCUUUUCUUUGUGGAUUCAAGGUAUUCAAUAAAGAAAUGAAAAAUAAAGUUUCGAAAAUUUUACUUGAUUCUUACAAAUUUAAUUCCUAAAUCAUUGAUAAAGAAUUAAAUUUAAUGAUUUCGCACACGAUUUUUUAUCUCAGGAGCAUCUUUGUUCAUGGAAUAUUCAGCUAAAAUUAAUACACAAAACUCCCAUUUAAUGUUUUCUAAGCAUGUCGUCAAUAAAUAAAUAAAACAAUAUUAAGUGGAAAAUCAUUUAUCAUGAACGAGGUUUUCUCACCCUAACAUGUUUUCCCUAAAUUUAAAUCAUUAAAGUUCUUAAUUAUUAAUACUUAUUUUAAUUAUCAUCAUCAAAUUAAAUAAAAAUAAAUCUUCAGAACAUAGAUGUGAAAACCGACAGGGUUUUUACUUUAAAUUAUAUGGAAGCAAUCAUUAAAAGGAGUUGAUAUUAAAGUUGAUGAAGUUUUCCUUCUUUGUUUUUCUUUCUUUUUAGUUUAAACUUUAAAAUCAUAAUUGAAAAGAAUUAUUAAAUAUACUAAGUAUUAUUAAAUUACUCGAAUUAAAGAUUUAAUCUCAAUUAACAUUUAAGUUGAUUGUCGUGCAAAUACUUCUAUUGAAAAAACAAAAAGAAAAGAAGAAAAGUAAGUCUACAUUUUUUGACAAAAACUUAUAAAUCAGGACUUAAACUUUUUUUUUUUUUGACUAAUUUGUUUUCCCGCACUUUCAUGGAAAUUGUAGUCCUAUAGGGCCAUAUUCCAUUCUCUCUUUAAUUACGUGUCCCAUAAACUUGGAUUUUGAUGCAGGAGACUUGGCCUCUUGACUUGAAGAAGUAGACUAACAAAUCAAUGCAUCUUUUCUUUAUUUAUUUCCAUAGCAAUAUAUAGUCCAUACCAAUAUGGUAAAUAAAAAAUCAAGUUGAUUCUUAAAAUCUUAUAAUUUUACAAAUUAAUAUGUAUUUAAUAUGUCAAAUUAAAUAAAAACUUAAAAACUAGUAAAAUUGAUCAAACACGGUAAAAUCAGAUCGAUUUUAACUGUUUAGAAAAAUAUAAAAUUAUACAUUCUGGUAAAUGUACCUUAACAUAUUCAUUGUUUUAAAUUUAUAUCUUGUAAAACUUGUGCGAUUUGAUAAUCAAGGGCUUGAUUUUCACUAUAAUUAUUAUAAUUUUUUUUAAUGAUACAAGUUAUUUGUGGAUUUAUUUCCGUAAGAUUAAAACACUUAUUCAUUCUUCAUAAUUUCUUAUGUAAACUAUUAACAUGUCAAUUAAUAUAUUACUCUGUUUUAACUGGAAAAUAUACAGAAUACAAAUUGUAAAUUAGCAUGCUUGACCCUUGCAAUAAUUAAUGUUAAGUGUGAUAUAUCAAAAUUUGAAAGUACUCGUUUCUUGUAAGUGACGAAGUAAGUGGGUCGAUUUGUCCAAGAAGUAGAGAAAUCAAUGUGAAGAAAAUAAAUGUAUUUGGACUUUUCUAUUGUUUAUUUUAUUUUUAUUUUAAUUGUGUUAUAUUAUUAAUUACUACUUGAUUGAAAUUAUUAAUAUAUAAUUAGUUAAAAUAUUUUACUUAUGAUUUUACGAUUUUAUGAUUCAAGUUUUCAAUUCGAGUUUAUAUUGUAUAUUUUAUGUCGUGUCAAAAAAACAUUUUUGACAACCUUUAUCCAUACUAAUCACUUUAAGAUAAAUCUUAAAUUAAAUACAGGGAACAAAUAAGAUGUUUCUAUAACUACAGGGACUAAAAUGAGUUUCUACCACCUUCGACCUCUACGCUCCACAUCCAUGAACACUACCCAAAACAAGUUUUUAAGCUGUGGGUUUUUGGUUUCAGAGUCCCAAAUGUGGAAUCAAGCUUCCAUACUUUAUCAAUAUACUCCGGAGCUUAUUUUUUAUUCACUUAAGUCCUGGAAGCUAAGUUUUCACAGCGAAAUUACCCCUGUUUUAAGAAGCUAUGUUUCUUAAAAUGGAAGAGAUUAAUCUAAUAUAAGAAUUAAUGGCAAUCAAAACUUCCCAAGUUUCAACAAUUGAAAUUAAUUACAAAAAAAAAUAUUGAGGUUUCAAUGUAAAAAGCUUAUAAUUGAAGGGCUGUGUGUAUUCAUAAGUAUUUUAUUUAAUAUUGUGGUGUAAAGUUUUUUUAAAAAAUAUUUUUUUGCUUGAAAUUAUAUUAAAAUAAGUGUUUUUAUUUUUUUAAAAUUAACAUAUCAAAAAAAUACUAAAAAUAUAUUAAAUUGAUUUUUUAAAGUCAAAUAUACUUUUAAAAUAUAGUUUCAAAUACAAAAACGAAAGAUUUAACCCUACUUUUUAAGAAAAUGGAUACUUUUAUUUUUAAUCAAAUACAAAAACAAAAGAUUUAAUCUCAGCUAAUAUUUAAGUUGACUGACGUGCAAAUACUUUUAUUUAAACAAAAAAGAUGUGGAAAUUGAAAGAAGUUGAAAAUGAGGACUUAAGCUUUUUGACUAGUUUGUUUUCCCCACACUUUCGUGGAAAUUGCAGUAAAGGGCCAUCCAUUUCAAUGCAGAAGAAGUAGCUCAAGAAUAAAUGCUCUCUUCGGAGAUUUCAGAAACAAAAACAGAUUUCAAUUCAAAAUUUCCUUUUAAGUAGGUAUUUAUGGUUCUUAUUUCUCAAUUUUGGUCAUUCCAACCAUUCCAUUGUAGUCUACUCUGAUGAACUCUCAAAUCCAAAUGGCUAAUUUAUUUUUUAUCUACUCUUUUAUGUUCUUCUUGUUAAUUAACUACUUUCACCGUAACAAGUGCUACUGAGACUGAUAUUUAUUGCUUGAAAUCUAUUAGGGAUUCUAUGAUAGACCCUAAUGGAUACUUAAACACCACUUUGUUGGGUUUGUUACCAUUAAUGUACAAUAAAUGGACGGCAACAACCAUUAAUAAUAAGAGAAUAAGAGAAAAUGUAAUCUGUAUAUGUUUUUUUUUGGUGAUUGAAAAUAGUACAACAGAAGCUCACAUAUAUAUACAUUCUAAACUAAUUAGUUACAAAAUAUUAUUACAAAUAUAAUUUCAAUAAUUUCAAUUUCAAUUUUGAAAUCAUGAUUAGUGUAGGUUCAUCAAUGUAGUAGAAUAUCCAUCAUAAACAAGAAGCUCACAGUUACAAAGUUUGAAUCUUUGUAACUGUAACUCUCUUUUGGAACUCUCUUCUUGAUCUUCAAUAUCCAUUAGCUAGCUGGAGAUGUAACAAUAACAACAUUUAAAUUUUUAACUCUCUUCUUGGUCUUUAAUGUCUGUUAUCUUCUUAUGCUUAACACGGUAAACAAACCCCAAAUAAAAAGAUUUGUUUCUUGAAUUGCCAUUAUCUAAAACCCGCCUUGAGUUCUUCAGCCCUACACCUGGAAAACUUGGAAAUUUAUAUGGAAGGGUGGAUUUGUUCUUUGUUUAAAUUUUAAAAUUGUAUUGAUUCGGGAAGUAAAUUGUAGAUUUUAAAUGAAUGGAGUCGAGAUGAUAGAAGUGUGAAGGCAUUUUUUUCUAAAAAAAAAAUUAAUUUCAAACAACGACCCGCAUGACAAAAAAGAAGAGAAAAAGAAAAAUAAAUCGACAUCAUCCGACAAAGAAGUUAUAAAUGAGGACUUAAGCUUCUUGACUAAUUUGUUUUCCCAAGCUUCGUGGAAAUUGUAGUAUAGGGCCAUCCAUUUCAGGGCAGAAGAUGUAGCUCAAGAAUAAAUGCUCUCUUUACUAUACUGUCCAAAAGAAUCAAACCCGUACGUACGUCACGACAAGUGGCUAGCAUCAAACUAGAAGCACCAGAAGAAGAAAGUGGAAAAGAUGCUGUGGUGGUUUACAAUCUCUGCUUGUCUUGUAUCCUUUCAUGCGUGGAGGCAUGCAGAAACAUCUACCACCUGGUAAACAACCUCAUGUUUUGAGUUCCAGCCAGCGCUGGAACUGCACCGAUCUGUUGAUCUGCAAGGUUCCUAAGAAUUUGGAUUUGUUUUCAAAGAAUUAAGAAAACAAGUAGAAAAUUGACGUAGAUGAAAACAAAACCAAGAAAAACAACAAGCACAAGCAACACUAGCCAAUAUUUUAUCUGCAGGUAGUGAAGGUUGCCCAGGAGUGAUCCCUCUACCAUUGCAUAUCUUCUGGGCAAUGCCAUCUUGUGCCAUUAGCAGCACUAGCUGUGAAACUAACAAUAUCCCUGUGUAGGAAAACAGUACAGAUAUAUGGCCUCAUUGCUAAGAGAGCAAUAACGUGGUCUGUUGAUAAUUCAGAGAUUCUCCUUAAGAAGAAUCUGUUGCGUGAACAAACAGGAUAAACAUCUUUGAUUUUAUGCUGAUUGCAGUAUGAAAAUAUUUUGGUGGUUAAACACGAAGGAAGGGGUACUGGACUCCUACAACCGAGAAGGUUUUUACUUUAAAUUAUAUGGAAGCAAUCAUUAAAAAGAGUUGAUAUGAAAGUUGAGGAAGUUUUCCUUCUUUAUUUUGUUUUUCUAUUUUAGUUUAAAUUUUGAAAUCACAAUAAAAAAGAAUUAUUAAAUAUAUUAAGUAUUAUUAAAAUUGCUCGGAUUAAAGAUUUAAUCUCAAUUAACAUUUAAGUUGAUGACGUGCAAAUACUUCUAUUGAAAUAAAAAACAAGAAAAAUAAGUCUACAUUAAUUGACAAAAACUUAUAAAUCAGGACUUAACCUUCUUUUUUGACUAAUUUGUUUUCCCGCACUUUCGAGGAAAUUGGAGUCCUAAAGGGCCAUCCAUUCUCUCUUGACGUGUCCCAUAAACUUGGAUUUUGAUGCAGGAGACUUGGCCUUUUGACUUGAGGAAGUAGACUAACAAAUCAAUGCAUCUUAAUUCUUUAUGGACUCAACGUGUUCAAUGAUCUCUUUUUAUCUAUCAAAAUGCUGUAGAAAAUUAAGAGCUUCUAGAUCACUUUGUUAACUUAAACCUUGAACGAUCUCUUGGUAUUUGCUGCUGUCUUGCUAUCUACAAAAUGGCUGUGGGUGGUGCAAAACUUGCUCUUCUUUUGAUUCAUAUCCUCAGUGUUGCCGGCAAAACUUGCUCGUUCGACUACGGGAGUGAUGAUCAUGAACAUCGGAAAAAGUUGGAUUCUUCACUCAAAAGUGGGUUUUUGAUAGGUUAUGUCUUCUCUUCAGUUUCCAUUAUAACUAUUUUCAUGUCCUGUUGUGUGCCUUGGGCUCGUCUCCUCAAGAGGAAAGGGAAAGAGGUGAUGAUGAAGACACCAAUGAUGACAUCUUUGAUGGAAAGGCAAGAGAAGAAGAGAAAAGAAGCCAACGUGCAGGUAUAUAUCCCCAUAAGAUUUUCAUUUCAUCAUCAUAUUUUUAGUUUCUUGCUAGCUUUUUUUAUUUAUUUAUUAUUAUUAUGAAGAUGAUAUAUAUAUGUAGUUGCUUGUAUUAAGGAUAAAUCAAUAUUCUUCAGUUGGCAAGACCAUGGAUCGUUGCAAACUUAAUUGAAUAGAUCACAGACCAAAACAUUAACUCAUUACAGAAAUAGCCAAAAAAAGAGAAGCCUCUAGUCCACGUCCUUAAUUAAAGUACCACACAAGUGACACAAACAAAACAAUUCAUUAACUCGUCGAUGUUAUUAUUCUGACACCCUCAAUGUUUGUAAAUUUAAAAUUACAUUCAUUAAUUAAAAUUACUUUUUUUUAAAAAAAAUUAUAUACAUAUCGUUGUAAAGGAAAAACAAACUUACAUUGAAAGGUCAUUCUUUCACUGAGCCUUUUGGGUAAAUGAAUCCCGCUGUGAAGGGACCACCCCUCAACGUUGCGGCAUCGCGUACUCUACGAGCCAGUGUCGAGAGUGGCUGCAUGUGUCUCAGGUGUCGGAUCUUGGUCGAUACCUAACAACUUAUGGUUGUCGAAAGCGUUGUUGGAAGAACUAGUAGCAUUUUUGUUUGUACAAUGUGUUAUUCACUUUCUCUUAGGCAUCUACACAAAUUAAAGGAUUAAGAUACUGCAAUUCAUUCACAUUUUAAAAAAUUUGACAGCACCUCCCUUAUACGAGAGACUACCCAUAAUUUUUAAUACUGCAAAUACAUAAUAAUUUAAAUUUAAUUGCCAUAAACCAAUUGAUUUUAUUCAAUUUGUUUCCUUGUCACUGUGUGAAGAGUUCACUCAACUUGUAAUCAACCUAGUUUUUAUAUAUUUUUUUUAAAUUCUAAAGUUUGUCAAUAUUACCGUUAGUGUACAAUUGUUUGGUUAAUUGUUUCCAAAAAUUUGGUUAAUUUUUCAAGUUAAAUAGUAAAAGUGUCUUGUUUUUUCUCUCCUGUAAUAUUAUUUACUUACUUUUCAGAAUUCCACAUUUCAACAUUUAUACACAGCUCAUGGAUUUCUAAAUACUAUUUAAAACAUAAAAAAUAACCCAAUUUGGCAUUUAAAUAAAAUUUUUCAUAAAUCUUUAAUUUAUAACUACUCCAAAUUAUAUCAAUUAACUCUUAAUUUUCAACAACUCAAAACCAUAAACCACAAACCACAAAUUAUAAAAACAUGAAAUUAAUCAAUAUAUUUAACCAAUUGAACCCUAAUUUACAAAAUUCCAAAAUAAUAAUUAAAAUUAAUCCUAUACAUUUAAUUGAAAUUAAACAACAAAAUUGAAACAAAAUGUAGAAGUUUGGACACAUGUUAAUUUUCUAGUAAUUUAGGUUGAGUGGUUUCAUCAUGGAUUUAGCAACAUAAAAGUUCUCUUUCAAUCUAUUUUAUUUAGAUAAAAUGUUUUUUACCCAUUUAAUAAUUCUGUCAUAACCAGCCUCACGUAUUUACAUAUAUGUGGACUCUUUCCUUAAUAAUCUAUGCAACAACCGAUAAUUCACUCUGAUUUGUGCCCUAAUCCCAUAAUGGUUUAUCAGAAUCUGUUCAAAGAUAAAAAAAAAAAAUCAUGUCGUAUCUGCAUUAGGUUCUUCAUCUACAAUUGAAAAUUCACUUGCAUAACCCUUAUUUAUUUCAUCACAUCUAUAACUAUAUUCCUUUAAGGAUUACUAUUGUCAUCUACAAUUCCAUGCACAUUGCUAGAGCUAGAAGUUGACUCAACCAUCCAUUCUACCAUGGUCUCGUGAGGAACAUAUGGUUCUCUGUAUGAAAACCAACACAAGUAUUUUUUUCAUGAACUCUUUUUGUAAAAGAUGCAUCGUUACAACAUCUAGAUUAAAAAAUAUUUUUAUUUUUACACCUCUUACAUGGAAAUCUAAUACUAUUUUCCCUAAUAUUUCUUGGAUUAGAUAGUGCGUAAUUAAUAAAAUCCUGAACCUCAUUACAAUAUUCCAUCAUUCACAACCCUUUAGAUAAAUCUUGAUACAUCCAUGAAUAAUCAUCAAUUACUUAUAUCAAACCUAUAUAGAAUAUUGUUGACAACAUGUAUUAAUUAAUUACGUAAACUAAAUAAAUUUACAAAUAUUGGUUUAACUCAAACUUAUUCAAUCUAUUUUAAUAAUCCUUUUAAUUCAUUAUCAAUUAUUUACAUAAAUUCAAAUUUCUAUAUAUUUAAUGAAAAUUUUAACUCAACAAUAAAUUGACAAAACAUAAAAUGAGCCCGUUAAAUAAGCUAUUAUUUAUUUCUUCACAAAACACUUACGUCACAAAUUCAAAAUAAAUUUCAUUAAUUUACAAACAAAUAUAAUUUUAUAAAAUUUCAAACAAAUCCUAACAUGUACAAAUCAUACAUUCAUAAAAUAAUUUCUAUGGGAAAAAGUUAUAAAACAAGUAAACAUCCAAACAAAAUAUAUAUACUACAAAAAUAUACAAUAAAAAUUAAUAUUUUAAAACUUAGUUCAAAUAAAAAAUAUAUAGUUUUGCUUACUUGAAGCAGGAAAUCCUCAAUAAAACUUGAAUUAGAAUAUUGAUGUUGACAAACUAAGUGUUUGGCUGACUGAAUUUAUAGUGAAAGUUUGAUUUGGAAAAACAUGAGGGAGUGUGCUGUUUGUUGUAGAGAAAAAUAGAGGAAGAAGAAGAAAUGAGAGAGGAGGAGAGAAGGGUUGCUCAUUAGGUCAUAAAUUAAAUAUUACAGACAGCUUUACCGGUAGAAUUAACCUAUUUAUAAUUAAUUCUGUAUAUAAAAAUGACAUGUCAUCGUACAUUUUGACUUUUUUUUUUCAAUUCUUUCUUUUAUCACUGUAAUUCCUGGAUGUAUACUGAGAGAAUAUUUCAAUUGGUGUUUACUGAUUGAUACAUAGAGAGAAUACUUCGUUGGUAAAGUUCAUUGCAAUCUACUAACACAAAAUUUAUGUUAGUGUUUUCGUUUGUAUUUGAUAAUUUUUUGGUAGUGCUAGAAAAAUAUUUUUAAUUCUAAAUAGUAACUUCUUGGUGGAAAUCAACCCUGGACUUAGUGGUAGGCCUUCAAAACCCUGCCAAGGACACAUAAAAGAAUUUUGUUCCACUCGUUCAAAAGUGGAUUUGUGGUUGGUUAUAUGCAUUAUCUGCUGUUUCAAUCGUAAUUGUUUUUGUAUCCUAUUGUUUGCCUUCGAUCCAUCUAAAAUAAGGGUAGUAAGAAUAAGAAGAUAGCUGAUAAAUCAGAGAUUUUAUAGGAAUGUUAUGUCGGUGAUAUGAUAGUCUAGGUGCUUCUUAGACACUCGUCUAAUUUGGACAAGGAUGAGCAGAUUUUUUAGAGGAAAGUUCUCGAGACAUUUUCAUGAGGUUUCUAGAUCUAGGGAGAAAGACAGUGAUGAUAGAAAAAUCUGGAUUGUAACUUUUAACAUUACCAGCUGUGGAGCUCAGUUAUGGAGGCAGCAAAGUGGUCAACUCUCUCAUUCUGUGCAUGUAAACUGUUGAGAUCAUUUUGUUUUUUGUUAUGGCUCCUUGACAAAUGACAAUCUUAUGAAUAAUUCUAAUUAGCAAUUUUUUUUGUGUAAAAUAGCGUUGUUCAUCUUUCACUAAUUCUCAUCGGUGAUUUCAUCAACAGAAUUCGGAGUUGGAGAAGAUGGUCACAAGAACAAGUUUCGCGGCACUCAAUAUUGCAACUCGCAGUUUUGACCAAGACAAUGUCAUCGGAGUCGGAAAGAUGGGGACAAUGUACAGGGCAGCACACCGUUAUGAUUUGUUUACUGCAGUUAAGAGGUUACAUGACUCUCAACAUUUAGGGAAACAGUUCAGGUCUGAGCUAAUCAUUCUAGCCAAGUUCAGACAUAUGAACAUAAUUCCACUACUGGGAUUCUGCAUAGAAUCCGGGGAAAGGCUUUUGGUGUACAAAUAUAUGCCAAAUGGGAACCUUCAUGAUUGGUUACAUCCUGUGAAAUGCAACGCUGAAAAACUGGAUUGGCAUGUCAGGGUUAAAAUCGCCAUCGGAGUAGCCCGAGGCUUGGCAUGGCUUCAUGAUUUUAACAACUUCCUGAUAGUUCAUCUUGACAUAUGCUCAAGAAGCAUCUUGCUGGAUAAAUAUUUUGUACCAAAGAUAUCAAAUUUUGGAGGGGCAAUGCACAGGAGAUCAAAUGACAAGGGCUUAAUUGCAAGUAGUAAGAUAGGUGAACUGGAAUUGAUCAAGCAGGAUGUCUAUCAAUUUGGUAUUCUUCUUCUUGAGCUAAUUGCAGUUCAUGAUCCUGACCAUAACAGUAAAUCAUCUCACACUCUAGAGGAGAAUUUGUUUGAACGAAUCGCUCAUCUAUCGAGCAGUUCUUCUGGCCUCUAUCAUGCUGUUGAUAAAUCUCUUCUUGGUCAAGGAUUUGAUGGUGAAAUAGUGAAAUACUUCAUUUUCUGAAGAUCGCAUCUAGCUGUAUUCAUCCCAUUCUAGAUCAAAGGCCAACGAUGCUUCAAGCAUUCCAAAUGUUAAUGGUUCUCAGGGGGAGAGAGAGAGAGAGAGAGAGAGAGAGAGAGAGAGAUUCAUCGAAAAUCCUAAGCUAUUGGCUCAACUGACUGGUCGCUGCUAAUUAAGUUGAUGAUAGCAUUGAGCUGGAGUCAGCAGAAACAAAAUGAAACAGCAGAUGUGUGUAUGCUAUAUAAAAUCAUUGUUUCUGGUUUUGUAAGUGAAACAAUACAGAUAUGGCCUCAUUGCUAAAGCACUCUUUGGGAGUGUUAUUGGAAGGCACCUUUUCAAAUUGGUAAUUUUUUUCUUUUAAUAAAAAAUUUAAAUUAAUAUUUUUUUAGUAUUUUUUAUUAUUAUUUUGAUAUAUUAAUAUUAAAAAUAAUAUAUAAAAUUUAUUUUAAUAUAUUUUCAAACAAAAAAACACCAACUUUUACCAUUAUCUCCGCCAAGCUCUAAGAGAGUAAUGAUAUGAUCUGUUGUUGAUAACUCCGAGAUUGUCCUGAAGAAGAGUCUGUUGUGAGAAAUGGCAAACAACCAAUGAAAACAGAAGAAAAAAAGUUAAUUUAAAAAAUAUCUUUAAUUAAAACUAUUCUAGGAUAGAUUUUUAUUUACAAAAUAAAUAAAAAUUCAGCAUAUUUUAGCUUGUCAAUUAUGCAGAUUAGGAGGCAGUGCUUGUUUCUUGAUGGCACGUACAUUUCAUUGUUGAUGAAAUUGUAAAUAAUUGUUUUAUGCAAAACCAUCAUUCCUUAACAACAUAAAUGCAUAUUCCUGAAAAUAAAGGAGGGGUAUUCACUAAACACCUCCUCACAUAAUAAUAUUAACCGGAACAAAAGUGUUUUUUCCUUAGUUUUUUUUUUAAUUUUUUUCUAAUAUAUAUAAUUUUUUAAUUUUAAUUCUAUUUUUCAAUACUAGGUUUACUGAGGAUUCAACUUCAAAACUUUUUUAAUUUAUUUUUUAUGAGGUUAUCUUAAAUUCAUAAAUCAGACUACCAGUAUAAUAGGUUGACUUAAGUUUCCAUCUUCAUAUUAAUUAAAAAUAUCUCUUAAAUAUUUAAUAUGAGUCAAACUAUAUUUUUAAUUAUUUUAAUAAGUAAUCAAUCUAUUAAUAAAUUUAUUGGUGAUUUUUAUAUCGAUAAAAUUAGUGUUUUUACACCAAUAAAAUAUCCCAUCUGUGUUAUGCUAUAUUUUGUGGUGGAAGUUGUGAAAACCUCAGAUUGAAUUUAGGCUUUCCAUGACAGUGACAUCGGUUCAAGGUGACCAUCGUGCAAAAGGUUAACCGGAGAUAGUAUAAGAAAUAUUGGAGAGAGAGGGUGGCGUAGAUGCAGGGUUUGGCUGGACCGAAGCUGGAGAGGGUUCGGUUUGACUUGCCCUGGGGAGUGUUCGGUGAUUGAAUUUUCUCCCCCUCCUUUAUUUCCUACCUUCGGUUGUGUUUGGCCACGAGAGGAUUAGGUUGGACAUUGAGAAGACGAGGAGAUGGUUAGGUUGGGAUGAGGAGAUGAGGUUUUGGUCCUUCUUUCUUACCUUGUUUAGGCAUCAGUUGGGCUUUUUAGAAUUUUUUUUUGGUGCACCAUCAAUUUGGAACUGGUCACUCUCGUAGAUAUGUAAAUUAAUAACUCUAUGGUUUUGUUAUCCCUUAGUUAAUUACAGCCUGAAUUUACUUUAAUAUGCAAAUAUAUUUUGGUGAUUAUUCCCUCCAUAUUAGUUUUUGAUAGCUAUCUCAUUUGGCUGUUGUUCAUUGUUGUAGAUACACAACUUCUGAAAUUAUGGCUCCGCUAGUUCCAUGACCAAGUAAAAAAAAACAACACAGAGUAGUAGUGCUACUUGCCAGAACCCAUCAUUCAUCAUAUUUUCUCCUUCCUUGAAAUAAAUGACAUUACUCGAAUUGGUGCAGUAUAAAAAACGUUCAGACAAAUUUUAUCUGUAGAUGGUCCUCCAAUUUUGUGUAAGUAAUGCUAGGUUAAAAAAUAUAAUUUAUAUUAUUUUUUUAACAAACAUGAUCCAAUAUGAAACUUUCUGAUUUGAGUCCUUACCUAGCCCAUGUUUAAUAUUACACCAUGUGGGAGUUGAUCCUAAGUAAUUUUAUUGACUUGGCCGGUUUAAAGAUAACCUGAUUGUCUAGAAAAAAAGUAUAAGAAUGAAAAUAAAAAAAGUAAAAUUUAUAGAAAAAAAAACCUUUCAAACCAACUUCUUGUCUAACUUGAGUUUAAAAUUAAAUCAUGUAAGAGUUGUUUUAACGUGACUCAUUCAACUUGGCCAGUGCAAAGAUAUCCUAGCCGACCAAUAAAGAAAUUUGAGAAUGAAAGUGAGGAAACAUUGAUGAAAUUGAUUGGAAAAAACCUCUCAAACUGAUUUAUUAUAUGGUUUGUAUUUAAAAUUAAAUGUAUAAAAGUUGUCUCGAUAUAAUUUAGUCGACUUUGCUUGUCUAGAAGUAACGUAGAUACUUGUUAAAACAAAUCUAAAAAGAUGAAAUUGAAAGAAAAAAAAUAAAAAAGAUAUAAUAAUAAUAAUAAUUAAUGAGAGCUGAAUUGAAAAAAAAAAAAAAAAAGGUAAGAAGAAGAGGAGGAGGAGGAGCUUAUAAUUUUUCCCAAGUUAUUUAGUAUAGGAGGUAAUAUUGAGCCAGCUAACUCUAAUAUAUAUAUUUUUUAACGAUAACGAGUAUCCUCAGUUAUAUUUAUUAAUCAAUCGAGAAUAUAUAUUUUUUCUUUUUAUCAUUUUAAGAAUACACCCCCAUACAAUAAUUAAAUAUGUUCAAUCUAUGUAUGUGUGUAUAUGUGCUAACGACCAAAUAUUUAUAAUGUGGGCAUAAAUAUUUCAAGUUGUGAACUUAAAUAAAUUCAGCAUAGUUUUGGACUAAUUAACUAUAAUUAUAGUGAAAGUCUAUGUGUCAUGGUAUGUGCUCCACAUUCAACUCUCUUCUCACCUGAAUGCGAAAUUGCAAGUACAGCACAAACAAAUAGAAUGUUAUCCAAAAAAAAAAAAAAAAAAAACAAAUAGAAUGUUAAAUAACUAUUCAAAGCAUAUACUACAGCCGCAUAAUUUCCCUGUAGCAUAUGAUGGCAAAUCGAUGUAGGUCCAAGUUCAUGCUGAGAUUAUGUAACCAAUUUCCAAUUGAAGAAGAAAUUGGACUCUAGGGCUUCAGCUCCUUUAAAUUUGUGAAGAAGAUGAGGAGUGAUCGACUUGUAUAAUCAUUCAAAGUUCACCACAUGGGGAUUUCUUCUUCAAUUGUCUAGUAAAAAAUGAGAUCCAUGCAUGUGAAUAUAUUCUGUAAUCUCAGUGGAUGAUAAGGUAUUUCAUUUACACACACAUAUUGAUGAGGCAUGCAUUUAUACAUGGAAGAACAUGCACGAACAAUUUAAUUCAUCAGCAACCGAUCAUAGGUCAUAUGGAAGUUUAUUUGGUAACCAUUUAUACUGUUAAAGUUUAUUUAACUUUUCAAUUAUAGACUUUUUCUGUAUGAAUCGACGUUCGAUAUUGGAACACAAGACAAGAAACCCCAUGUGGAAAGCUUGUUACAUAUGUUGGCCUGCUCCGAUCCAUGGGGAGCUAGGUUACUUGUCACUCUGAGUUAGUUGAAAACAGUUUCAAGUCUGAAAUCAGCUAUAUUAAUUUGACAAGAGAAAUUGACAUGAACAUGAUAAUCACGUUACUGAUCUCUUGACCUCCUAGGUUAAGUCAUUUUGGAUUGAUAUAUUAAAGUUAGGCAAGAACAGGGACCGAAUUAAAAGUGGCUACGCACAUGCUUUACAAGUGGUUAGUCUUCAAAAAGAGUUGAUAUAUGAACAUCGAGUAAGCUACGAACAGCGCCUUUCACACAUCAAACAUUGUUGCCCAUGCAUGUGUUUGUGUGUGUGUUUUGAAGACGAGCACUAAAAACACACCAAAAGGCCACUCCUUGUCCGUCUAUUGUUCAGGCUGAUCAGAAAAGAAUUUUGGUUUCUGAACUAUGUAUGUGAUUGCACAACCUUAAUUAUUCCAAAAUUUAAAUACUAAUUAAUAUUCAGAACCUGUCCCGAGCAUCUUGCCGUAAAUUCAUGAAAACUAUUAAGCCACCACAGCUGUGAAAAGGAACAUGCAUGGGGAUAAGGAGAAAUUAAAAUGGUUAGUGAAGGCCGCAAAUAUGCUCAUUGGCUAUUGAUUGGUUCGGUCCCAACUUCCAACCCAUAGACUUACAACCCAACUUCCAUAUGCAAUAUGUAAAUUUAAAGUUUGAGUAAAUUAUUAGAAACCAAUGGAUUUUCAAUAUUCAAAAGAAGUUUGAGUAAAUUAUUAUUUAUUUCCUUAUGUUUGGCCUCUUGUUAGUGUUUUUAAGCAUAUUUGGGACAUAAGAAAAAAAGAACAACAAAUGUUUUUUUUUUAUAGUAAUCGAGAAUAUUAUAAAUAAAGCAGAGCCUAGUGGACAAGAGUUUUGCCACUAUUUAUAUAACCCAUAUAUCAAACUAAUCGGUCAAAAUUGAGAGAAUCUGCUUAGCCCCUUAGUCUUCGGGAUCAAAGUCACAAAAGACGAGCUGAUACCUUUGGGUAAUUUACCUACUCUGAAAAAUUCUUUGACCAUUACAAAGAUGUCGGAGUUGAUAAGGUUCCAUACCUUUUUAUAGAAGGAGAAGGUAAUCCCACAUGGCUUGCUUCACUUCCUCCACUGAAGACGGUCUUUCUAACCAAACUGAUCUUGCUUCUGAAAUUUUAGAGAACCCCGAGCCUCCCAUUUCAAUUCUUCUACAUUUUGGCUUGGCAAACAGAGUUGAGAAGUAGUUGACAACGCCCUUUUUUAUGCCAUUUAGAGAGACCAAAAUUUUGCCAUUUUGCUCAAUCUUGCUAAUGUGGUUGCGGCCAUUCCUCAAACUUGCCGAAAGGUGGAAGAAACAUGUGUUCUUAUCCCCCUUUUUGCACUAGUUUUGGUGGGAUUUUUGCCUCCAAAUAUCCUCAACCUUCCUGCUAACCUCCCAAAGCUUAGAGUUCAUAUUCCCCAAUGUACCUUUGAUGUCUGAAGAAGUAGUUGACAAUGAUUAGACAUCCCUCUAAGGUAGCGGUAGAGUGAAAAGAACGGAAACUGAAGAUGGAAUUCUAGAGAUGUAAAAGCCCUGUUGAUGCGACUCAUGGAGCCCCCCUAAACCAAUUGAAACAAUGGCUCUGCAAUUUGAAUUCAAUCAAAUCACAAUCGGACAAGAAAUUAUAGAGCAAAGCUGACCCCUGAAUGAUUAAAGUAACCGCUACUUCUCUCAUGAGCAUGUAAAAACCUAUGCCAUCCUUUGUGUCCCAUCAAAAACACGAAAAGUGAAAGAAUUACGAGCAAGAUUAGAAAAAAUUGUGAGAUUAAGGCCAUGAUUUUUGGGUAAUAAGAGCUUAUUUAAAAGAAAUACCCACUUUUCUUUCCGUUCUUUGCUCCACCUGUCACGUUCAAUCCCACUUUUCAACAAUUUCAUUUGGCAAAAAUUCUUUCAUAUAUACUAAAUAAUGUGUAUUAAUAACCAAAAUAAUGUGGAAAACUAUCUACGUAAUCAACUUUUCAAGGUUGAGGCACGAAGACAUAGAAUGAAUUAACUUCCUAAUCUAUCUUAAAUUUUUCCAUUAACAGGGAGUUAGUUAGUGUAAGGUUAUGGUAGUUAAAUGUUGUUCGAAUUAAAUAAUUUAAAAUUUUGUAAUGAUGAAUAAAUUAAUCGGUGUAUAUGUAUAUAAACACUAAUAAUGAGAUAAUCUUUAAUUUCUAAUUUUUAAUCUAAUCACUUCUAUGGUUAGAUUAAAAAUUUGAUAUGAGAAUUUCACUAAUUACUACUACAGCAUCAAUUACCAUUAAGUAAUAAUAAUUAGUUUUUUAAAUAGCAUUUAAUUUCUAUCUCGAGGUAGAAAAAAUAUGUUUACCUGUUAUUAAUUUAUACUUUAAAUUGACAUAAAUUUAUUUUAAAACUAUUCUAACUAUAAAUUUAUUUUAUAUUUUAAUUUUUUUUAAAAUUUAUUUAUUUUAUCAUGAGAAACUAAUCAAUAUGAAUGCAUUAAUAGCAUCCGUUAUUUUAUUUUAUUUUAUUUUUCAUAAAAGAUGCCUUAUAUUUUCAAAUACCCAAUAUUAAAUCUCCACAUGCAUUCUAUAUCCAAACUUCCUAUAAAUACCACCUUCAGCUGCUUCAGAUUCCCAUCUCUCCAUUUCAACUACUCAUCACCUGCAUCAAUUCAAAUAUUAUCCGAUACCAAAAAUAUCAAUGGCAGGCCUUCCACUUCCAAUGAUCCCCCAUCCUAUUACCCUUUUCUUCAUCAUUUUCUUUGCGUUCUCACCUUUAGUAAAGGCAGCACAACAUAGUGUGUUAAGUUAUGGUGCCAAACCUGAUGGAAAAACUGACUCCACCAAGGCCUUUGCUGCUGCUUGGGCACAGGCAUGUGCCUCAACACAACCAGCCACAAUUUCUGUUCCUAAAGGGAGUUUCUCUUUAGGUCAAGUGAGGUUUCAGGGUCCUUGCAAGAACCGUGCUAUCUUGGUACGUAUAGAUGGCACCCUAGUUGCACCAUCAGAUUAUAAGGUCAUUGGCAACGCUAAAAAUUGGCUAAUGUUUGAGCAUGUUAAUGGGGUUACUGUAUCUGGAGGGACUCUUGAUGGCCAGGGUGCUGGACUGUGGUCUUGCAAGAAUUCCGGCAAGGGUUGCCCCAGAGGCGCAACGGUAUGAUAAUAAAGCACAUGCAUGCAUGACAUAAUCAUCUUGCAAUAUUUUGGUCAGUAGACUAAAGAUAGAUAUAUUUUCAAGGUCUUAAUUUUUCUUGUUAAUGUAUAUACUGUGCAGUCACUUGAGUUUUCCAAUUCAAACAAUAUUGCAAUCACCGGAUUGGCAUCAUUAAAUAGCCAGUUGUUUCACAUUGUCAUCAAUGGUUGCCAAAACGUCAAAGUGCAAGGAGUCAGAGUCUCUGCCGCCGGAAACAGCCCUAACACGGAUGGUAUUCACGUUCAAUCAUCAACCGGUGUCACCAUAUUGAAUUCUAGGAUUGGAACAGGUGACGACUGUGUAUCGAUUGGCCCCGGUACCUCAAGUUUGUGGAUUGAAAAUGUGGCAUGUGGACCUGGCCAUGGAAUCAGGUAAAUAAGAAAUUAUAACAUCAACUAUAAGUUUAUAUCAAUUAUCAUCUGCUCCUAUUGUUUAAUGUGUUGCUAAUUAUGGGAACUGAAAUGAUGUGUAUAUGGUUGAUGUAGCAUUGGAAGUUUGGGCAAAGAAUCCCAAGAGGCUGGUGUGCAAAAUGUUACAGUCAAGACCACUACAUUUACCGGUACGGAAAAUGGACUGAGAAUUAAGUCUUGGGGAAGGCCUAGCAAUGGUUUUGCUAGAGAUAUUCUUUUCCAACAUGCAGUCAUGAAUAAUGUCCAAAAUCCUAUUGUAAUAGACCAAAACUAUUGCCCCGGCGAGAAGAAUUGCCCUGGCCAGGUACACGUCAAAUCUAUUGUCUAUACCGUUCUUUUCAUUUUGAAAGCUAACAUCCAAAACAUACAUAAAUCUUGCUGUAUUUUGCUGUACAUUAAACAGGUUUCUGGUGUGAAAAUAAGUGAUGUGACCUACCAAGACAUUCAUGGAUCAUCAGCAACAGAAGUGGCGGUCAAAUUUGAUUGUAGCAAAAAAUAUCCAUGCACUGGGAUCAAAUUAGAAGAUGUAAAGCUCACUUACAAGAAUCAGCCAGCUGAAGCAUCAUGCAGCAACGCUGGUGGAGUUGCUUCAGGACUUGUUCAGCCCACUAGCUGUCUAUAAGAGCCUAAUUAGCGAGGGAAUAUAUAGUUGAUCAAGCAAAAUAAAAAUAAAUUAUUACGUAACACAUAUAGUAUAUAUACAUAUACAAAUGGGAUAUUUUCUCUCUGUCUUAGCUUAAAAACAAUGUAAUACGUCCUUAGCUAAUGAAGCGAGUUUAUUUGCUUGAUCUUGUGGCACGUCUCAGCCCGACGACGAUUGCAAUUAUAGUACAAAGGAGGAAAUUAAUUUUCCAAACACCUAGUUCGGUUAAUGUUUUUUAUACAUUUGAGACUUAAUAUGAGUUAAUUGUUUUUGUUAAAUAAAUUGUUUGGCGUGAGCCAGCUACUUGAACCUAUCCAUCUGGUAAAAAUAUUUACGUGCUAGACAAUCAACAUGAACCAAUACAAUAAUUUAUAUCUAAUUGAUAUGAUUCUCCCACAUUAAAGUCCUAACUAGAAAGACCAAUAUUUCUAUUUAUCGAUAUCAUUUGAAGCAGCAACUCUAUCUGCGGAGAAGAAAUCAAACAACGAAAUUCCAUGGAAUGGGGUCUAGUACUUGUGUUUAAUUAUUAACACUAAGAAAAUUGCUUUCAAUGGGACCUUUUGGUGCGUAGAUUAUAACCGAUUGGCCUUUUUUUUUUCUCCAAUAUUGUAUUUUAGUGACUCUCUCCUUUUUUUUUUAAUUUCAAAGACUAAAAUAUAAAAUAAAUAAAGUUUAUAAUUAAAACUUGAAACCCUCGAAAUACAAGAAUUAACAAUGAAAAAGUAAGAACUUUAAGGAGCAAAUUAUAGUUUUUCAUGCUUCAUAAAUAGUAAAAAAAAGGCCAUUUUUUGUUUCAGCAUUAAAAUUGGACCCUAUUAUUUAAAUUUUCUCAAUUUCAACAUUAAAAAAUUACCCCCUAACUUAGAAAACCUAUUCAGAACCUGUAAUCCAGCUAUUUAAGAGACAGACCCAUAUUCUAAAAUGGAGGCCGUCCUUUUCAAUUGACAGGCUACUGGUCAGCACUUAGACCAUGAUUAACGCUACCAUCAGCACUUACAUCAUCAGCAAAUCAACAGUACUUCGAAUAAUAUCUGCCAUCUUGUGCUUGCAAUUGACUUUUCAACAAGAUCUAGCUAAUGCAUGUCUAUAUAAUGGUUUGCCUUUUGCAACCUUGUAGAUCAUCAGCAAUAUUUCAAAUUAAUCUAAGAACAUUAGCAUAAAGCAUGGCUAGUGAUCAUAGUGUCCGUGGUGAGGAGGUGAUCAGCAACAAACAAGUGAUCCUCAAGGACUACGUGAGUGGUUUUCCAAGAGAAUCAAACCUGUACCUGACGACAAGUAACAUCAAACUCAAAGUGCCAGAAGAAGAGAGUGGUAAAGAUGCUGUGCUGGUUAAGAAUCUCUACUUGUCUUGUGAUCCUUUCAUGCGUGGACGCAUGCAGAGAGAUCUGCCACCCGGUGAACCUGAACAAUCUUCCUACUCCCUUGGCUCUGUAUGUUCUCAAUCUCCCUCUUUAAUCCAUUGUUGAAUUGUUAUAAUUUAUAUUACAAUUAUUUAUGGUAAUUAUAUUGCUAGUUACUGUGAAUUUACUUACUCUUGUUGGAGACAUUGAGCAGCCAAUUGUUGGAUAUGGAGUGGCUAGAGUUGUUGAUUCCAGGCACUCUGACUUCAAGAAAGGUGAUUUGAUCUGGGGAAGGACAAUCGGCUGGGAAGAAUACAGUCUAAUAACAACACCUGAAUACCUCUUCAAAAUCAACCAUACUGAUGAUAUACCCCUUUCAUACUACACUGGAAUUCUUGGUAUGUAAGCUCUUGGCCCAUAUGAUUUUCUUAUGUGAACGUGUUUUGUUAUGACUGUAAUGAGCCAUAUUCUUGAAUUUGUGCUUUUGCUCUCACAGGAAUGCCUGGCAUCACUGCUUAUUUUUGCUUCUUUGACAUUGGUUCUCCCAAGGAAGGAGACCGUGUCUACGUUUCAUCAGCAUCAGGCGCAGUUGGUCAGCUUGUUGGGCAAUUUGCAAAGCUGAUAGGUUGUUAUGUUGUUGGAAGUGCUGGAAGUAAAGAAAAGGUUGAACUAUUGAAGACCAAGUUUGGAUUUGAUGAUGCUUUCAAUUAUAAAGAGGAGCAUGACUUGGAUGCAGCCUUGAAAAGGUUAGUGUAUGAAGGCGGCAUAAGAGACAAUCAGAAAUAGCACUCUCAAGCCUUACAGAACCUCUAGACGUUCUGCAGGUUAAUUAAUCUGUGAUUAUGUGCAUUACUUUUUUUGUUUUUGAAUGUUAAUCUUGUGGGGAUUGGCUCAAGUGGAAAAAGGAAUGAUUGUUUCCUUUGCCAGGUACUUCCCUGAAGGCAUCGACAUUU
rnacentral:lncRNA from 1 species